rnacentral:ncRNA from 2 species
CAGGAUUCCCUCAGUAAC